UUUAGAUCAAAUAGGUAGAGCAAAAUAUUUCUCAUGCCCCGACUUAGAGUCAGGUUUUCAUCAAAUUGAACUGGAAAAAAGUUCACGGGAUAUAACAUCCUUUUCAACAAAUAAUGAGAAUGGAUGCUAGAAAAUACGCUUGUGAAGCAGUCCUAAUUCAAAACAAAAAUUGACUACAGCUUCCAGUUGCAUACGCAUCAAGAUCCUUUACGAAAGGUGAAAGCAACAAGAGCAAUACAGAACAAGAAUUAGCAGCUAUUUAUUGGGCAAUAACACACUUCAGACCAUACGACUUUGUCCUAUGAACCGCUAUUUUUCGCAUUUCUUUUUUUGUCGCUUAAGCAUAGAUCAAGCUACGCUAUAAUAUUUAUUUCAGUUAAAUUGUACAACAACAACAAGAAUAACAACUAAAAGAAGUUGGGAUGUGCAAAUAAUUGUGUGUUGUGAAAAUAAUUUUGACUAUGGUUGUAUUUAUAGUAGACACUUCACUGUCAAAACAGACCACAGAGCACUUACAUACUUAUUUUCAAUGAAUUGAAAUUCUGACCGAAACCGAUGUUUACGUUAGCGGACUUGGGGCCCCCUUUUUGGGGCUCUGGUGUUUACAAUAUCGGCUUGGAUGUUUACAGAAUCUGUUUGGAGCGGAGAGUGUGAAACUGAUCUGGGUAGGAAUUGAAUGGAGGCUUUGUUUAAAGAAUAAAAAAAAGCUCUUGGU